AUGACAUGCAGAGGUACUUACUCUCAUGAAGGUGUUGCCUCCAUGGCAGCUGACACAAUCCCUUUCCAGGGUCUAGGCCUUCUGGUGCAAAUUCCCACACCCAAACCAAUAGAGGCCAGAGAGACCCAGAGACAGCUUUGGAAUCUUCAGACAAUUGAUCAGAUUGGCUCCUGCGAAGAACCGUUUGUCAUCCUUGGUCCAGGAGGUCAACUCAAAUCCAAGAAGUCAAUUUUCUUAAUAACCACAAAUGUAUGUGACAUUAUGGCUCUGGCCUAUUCUUCAGAAGCCAUUAAGGUGCCUUCCCUGGGGCAUCAAGUGUGAUUAGAGGCUACACAUUCUGCAACUGUCACCAACAUGCUGAGAUGUCCGUGGUGAACCUGUUGACCUUUCAAGGGGUACUUUCAUUUUAGGAGAGAAUGGUGGGAAGAACGCAGCGCUCAACACUGUGGAUCAACAGUCUGGUUCCAAACACAGGCCAAACCUGCAAAUGUGAUCCACAGAUGUGCAACCAUGGCAGCUUGCAAGAAAUGCAGAUUCCCAGGUCCUACCCAGAACUGUUUGAAUUGGAAUCUGUAUGCUAGCAAGAUCCCUAGGUGAUUUAUAUGCACAUUAAGGUUUGAAAAGCACUGUUUUAGAGAAAUAACUAUUUCAUAAGGUGGUUUUGAGGAUUUAGUGGGAAUACAUGUACAGAACACCUAAAGCAUGUAGAUGUGUAAUACAGUGCUUAAUAAAUACUCUUGGCAAAUCCCAAGAGAGAAGAAAGAGCCCUCUGUCUCCAGGGCCAAUGAUGUAUAAAGCAGAUAAAGAGAAAGGACAAACAACGCAGCACUCUUUAGAGUACUAAAAAAGGAGGUGUGUGUAUGUGUUUUGUUUUGUUUUGCCAGAGGAAAGGAAAAUAAUAAAGGCAGAGGAAGGAAUGAAAAAACUGGCAAGUAAGAGCGAGAAAAUAUGGAAUGGAAAAACAAAGUACUUAGGAAUGAAAUACCUUGAGGUGGUGAAAGAAAAAAUAAACAAGAGGUAAAGAGCUCUUAAAAUGUACAGUGCUGAAAAUUUGGAUGAGGGGAAAACUAGAUUUCUCCAGAUUGGAAGGGAGGUGUGAGUGUGUGAUGCGUAAAGAGAGACAGCCAAACCCAAGUGAUUUAGCAUAAGGCUGGCUUAAAAAGUUUAAUAGUCCUCAUGUAACAUGGUAAGCUUGUAUUUUGAAUUUUCACUCAAGGACAUCUUUGUUCAGAAGAGCAGAGUGGUUUGGUUUUGUGCCUGGGUGACUGGAAGGAGUGGGAGGCAGGUGGCCAAAAUGGGGACUGUGAGGUUGUGUUGAGGUGUCAGUAAACAGGCAGGAGAAGUGCUGGCCCUCAACAACAGAUUCUUUUUAGGGGUCCAGAUGACUGAGUGAGUUUACUGUUAAUCACAUCCACACAAAUGGGUGGGAACAAAAUCACAGCCCCCAUUCUACGUCAUGUGGAUGGGAUGUUUGCCAGAAUGUGGGCUGUGUUAGGGACAUGGUGGCUUUUUCUAGGAAGUGAGGGAAGGUCUCAACAUUAGAGGAGGGUGGAAGGAGGCAUUCUAGCUGCCUUCUAUCCCACCUCAGCCAAUGGCAAUGAAGCAUUUCAAAGCAGGAUGGGGUAAGAGGGGGAGUCUGGCAAUACAGGGAUGAGAGAGAGAGAGCGAGAGUGAGAGAGAGUUCAGUAAGCUUACUUAACUUUUGUGAAUCUCUACUUUUCAUCUGCAAAAUGGGCCCUGCCUCUCUAAGAUGUCAUGACGUAAAUUAGUGUCAGUUCUUAAGACAACAUUCUAAGACAAAUCUUAGCCUUUGACAAAGAUGGGAACUUAGAAAUCUUACAGAACCAAAUCCCUUCCUUUCACAGGCAAGGAACUGAGACUGGGGCAGCCAAGAGUCUUGCAGAUCUUGCUUAGGGACACAGAGUUCUUAAUAAUAGAUCUCAAAGUGGAACCCAGGUUUCCCAAUUCCCAACCUAGGGCUUAAAACAUUGGCAAGCUUAUUUUACCAUUUUCUAUGUUAAAUUCAGGAGAUGAAGGUACUUGCACUUUAAUUUCUGGAUCGUUGACUUUGUUGACCUUCACUGCUAGGGCAAAGAUCUAUGCUUAAUGAUAAGUGUUUUAACAGUUGGUGGUUCUGACUUUUUAUUUUGCUGAAAGGAAUAGCCUUUGAAUUUUACCCAAAUUUUAACUUUAGGCAUGGCUCAUUUUUAUUACCUUUGUAAUUCCAGUGAAUUCAGCAUGCUUCACUGUUGUGGAAUUUGUUGGUGUCUUGGAAAGAUCACAGAUAGGCUUUGACAUCGCACAAACCUGACUCAGAUCUUGCCUCUGCCACUUAUUUGCACUUUAACAACUCUGGACAGAUUCCUUAAUUGUUUGGAGCCGGUUUUCUUUAUAAUAGAUUCUACCUAUUAUGUUAUGGAAUUAUAUUAAUUAUGAAGUUGUUUGAUAGUGUUAGAAAUAAUGUUUAAAAGUGCUUAGAAUUAGAAAAGGGUCUGGAAUAUAAUCAGAGUUCAAUAGAUGAUAGCUAUCCACAUCAACAAAUACUCAUUGAGCGCCCAACUGAAUGAAGUAUGAUGGUUGAUUAGGAAAUCAGUCUCACACAAAUAAAAUAUUUGCCAUGUGUCUUCACUGAUCUGCCAUAGUGUCUACAUUGGAGGUAGCAAAAGUAGUAAUUUAAUAGUCUAUUAUCCGACCGCAUCCCAAAACUGAAGUUGAACCCCUGACUGCAGAUAAUUGCUGAAAUACUCAAAUAAUAUUUCCUGCAAUGCCUUAGCCACCCUUCUUUCCCACAUUGUUUUUUUUUUAAGCCUUUGUGAGGUUUAUUUAAAUGUCCGAGAUGAGAACAAAGCAUAUAUUUCUGUGUUUAUUUAGUACAUUUCUCACAUAUACAGUAGGUGCUGAAUUCACACAAGUGAUCCUAGAAUCUUUUUUGGGUUCAUCAAUUUAUGUAAUAUCAAAAGUGGCAAUUCAACAGAAUUUUAACCUAUCAAUGGACCAAACACAUAUAUGACACUUUCAGUCGAAUAACGAACCAUUGUCUCUCAGUUCAUCACUUCUCCUAUAUUUUGCUUUGUGAUGCUGGGUAUGAGGCUCUGAAAUUUACAUUUCUCCUUUACCAGCUAGCUCUGCAUUAGACUCUACGAUGCAAGUAGAUAAAGAGAAAGGAAGGAAGGCUGGAGGAAGACUGUAAGGCAUGAGGAAAAAGUAGGGGCUUGUUCCUGUUGCAUUUCCUAUUUUUGCCAGUGUCGCCACAAUAAUGGUCCUUUAAUCCACGCACCUACAAAUGGUACCAGUAGCAUUUAGUUACCAUUUCCAGAUUUUUCCCACAAUCUGAGAUAUUUUAGAACACAUGGCAGAUACCUGUACUCAGAGGUCUGAUCUAAGCUCCUCAGGGUCCCUCUUCCAAUCUCCCAGGGUAUCAGCAUAAAAUGGGCAACAUUACCUUCUCAGUGGUACCUUUCCCCACAAAUAUAUAUACUACUACUACAUAGGUUUAGUUUUAUAUAGCAUGUACUAUGACGUAGUACGUACUAUGUACUAUCACCCAUAUAAAUUGGAGAAUACACUAAUAUAAGCAUUAACGUUAUUCAUGGUAAAAUAUAAUACAUAUUAUAUAUUAUGCUUAAUUAUGUCCGAUAUUGUCUCUAUGAAUAUUCUUUACCAAUAGCUGUUCUUCCAUUUAUAUAGGACAUUAAAUCUUUAAUUGUAAACAGUGCAUUCUAUUAAUUAAAUCCCUCCCAACAUUCAUAUCAGCUAUGCAAAAGUCUGGAUUCCAGUUCUCUAGGGGGCCUCUUCCAAAUAUCUAGGUUCUAAUAGUUCAAACUCUUCCCCUUUGUUCCUUCAGUAACUACUCUAAUAGGCAAUACCAUUCAGGACAUAGGCAUGGGCAAAGACUUCAUGAUUAAAAUGCCAAAAGCAAUGGCAACAAAAGCCAAAAUUGACAAAUGGGAUCUAAUUAAAGAGCUUCUGCACAGCAAAAGAAACUACCAUCAGAGUGAACAGGCAACCUACAGAAUGGGAGAAAAUUUUUGCAAUCUAUCCAUCUGACAAAGGGCUAAUAUCCAGAAUCUACAAGGAACUUAAACAAAUUUACAAGAAAAAACAACCCCAUCAAAAAGUGGGAAAAGGAUAUGAACAGACA
ensembl:lncRNA